rnacentral:rRNA from 1 species
UACGUAGGGUGCAAGCGUUAAUCGGAAUUACUGGGCGUAAAGCGUGCGCAGGCGGUUAUGUAAGACAGGUGUGAAAUCCCCAGGCUUAACCUGGGAACUGCAUUUGUGACUGCAUAGCUAGAGUACGGUAGAGGGGGAUGGAAUUCCGCGUGUAGCAGUGAAAUGCGUAGAUAUGCGGAGGAACACCGAUGGCGAAGGCAAUCCCCUGGACCUGUACUGACGCUCAUGCACGAAAGCGUGGGGAGCAAACAGG